GGUUAAGCGACUAAGCGUACACGGUGGAUGCCCUGGCAGUCAGAGGCGAUGAAGGACGUGCUAAUCUGCGAUAAGCGUCGGUAAGGUGAUAUGAACCGUUAUAACCGGCGAUUUCCGAAUGGGGAAACCCAGUGUGAUUUGUCACACUAUCAUUAACUGAAUCCAUAGGUUAAUGAGGCGAACCGGGGGAACUGAAACAUCUAAGUACCCCGAGGAAAAGAAAUCAACCGAGAUUCCCCCAGUAGCGGCGAGCGAACGGGGAGGAGCCCAGAGCCUGAAUCAGUGUGUGUGUUAGUGGAAGCGUCUGGAAAGGCGCGCGAUACAGGGUGACAGCCCCGUACACAAAAAUGCACAUGCUGUGAGCUCGAUGAGUAGGGCGGGACACGUGGUAUCCUGUCUGAAUAUGGGGGGACCAUCCUCCAAGGCUAAAUACUCCUGACUGACCGAUAGUGAACCAGUACCGUGAGGGAAAGGCGAAAAGAACCCCGGCGAGGGGAGUGAAAAAGAACCUGAAACCGUGUACGUACAAGCAGUGGGAGCACGCUUCGGCGUGUGACUGCGUACCUUUUGUAUAAUGGGUCAGCGACUUAUAUUCUGUAGCAAGGUUAACCGAAUAGGGGAGCCGAAGGGAAACCGAGUCUUAACUGGGCGUUAAGUUGCAGGGUAUAGACCCGAAACCCGGUGAUCUAGCCAUGGGCAGGUUGAAGGUUGGGUAACACUAACUGGAGGACCGAACCGACUAAUGUUGAAAAAUUAGCGGAUGACUUGUGGCUGGGGGUGAAAGGCCAAUCAAACCGGGAGAUAGCUGGUUCUCCCCGAAAGCUAUUUAGGUAGCGCCUCGUGAAUUCAUCUCCGGGGGUAGAGCACUGUUUCGGCAAGGGGGUCAUCCCGACUUACCAACCCGAUGCAAACUGCGAAUACCGGAGAAUGUUAUCACGGGAGACACACGGCGGGUGCUAACGUCCGUCGUGAAGAGGGAAACAACCCAGACCGCCAGCUAAGGUCCCAAAGUCAUGGUUAAGUGGGAAACGAUGUGGGAAGGCCCAGACAGCCAGGAUGUUGGCUUAGAAGCAGCCAUCAUUUAAAGAAAGCGUAAUAGCUCACUGGUCGAGUCGGCCUGCGCGGAAGAUGUAACGGGGCUAAACCAUGCACCGAAGCUGCGGCAGCGACACUAUGUGUUGUUGGGUAGGGGAGCGUUCUGUAAGCCUGUGAAGGUGGCCUGUGAGGGUUGCUGGAGGUAUCAGAAGUGCGAAUGCUGACAUAAGUAACGAUAAAGCGGGUGAAAAGCCCGCUCGCCGGAAGACCAAGGGUUCCUGUCCAACGUUAAUCGGGGCAGGGUGAGUCGACCCCUAAGGCGAGGCCGAAAGGCGUAGUCGAUGGGAAACAGGUUAAUAUUCCUGUACUUGGUGUUACUGCGAAGGGGGGACGGAGAAGGCUAUGUUGGCCGGGCGACGGUUGUCCCGGUUUAAGCGUGUAGGCUGAUUUUCCAGGCAAAUCCGGAAAAUCAAGGCUGAGGCGUGAUGACGAGGCACUACGGUGCUGAAGCAACAAAUGCCCUGCUUCCAGGAAAAGCCUCUAAGCAUCAGGUAACAUCAAAUCGUACCCCAAACCGACACAGGUGGUCAGGUAGAGAAUACCAAGGCGCUUGAGAGAACUCGGGUGAAGGAACUAGGCAAAAUGGUGCCGUAACUUCGGGAGAAGGCACGCUGAUAUGUAGGUGAAGCGACUUGCUCGUGGAGCUGAAAUCAGUCGAAGAUACCAGCUGGCUGCAACUGUUUAUUAAAAACACAGCACUGUGCAAACACGAAAGUGGACGUAUACGGUGUGACGCCUGCCCGGUGCCGGAAGGUUAAUUGAUGGGGUUAGCGGUAACGCGAAGCUCUUGAUCGAAGCCCCGGUAAACGGCGGCCGUAACUAUAACGGUCCUAAGGUAGCGAAAUUCCUUGUCGGGUAAGUUCCGACCUGCACGAAUGGCGUAAUGAUGGCCAGGCUGUCUCCACCCGAGACUCAGUGAAAUUGAACUCGCUGUGAAGAUGCAGUGUACCCGCGGCAAGACGGAAAGACCCCGUGAACCUUUACUAUAGCUUGACACUGAACAUUGAGCCUUGAUGUGUAGGAUAGGUGGGAGGCUUUGAAGUGUGGACGCCAGUCUGCAUGGAGCCGACCUUGAAAUACCACCCUUUAAUGUUUGAUGUUCUAACGUUGACCCGUGAUCCGGGUUGCGGACAGUGUCUGGUGGGUAGUUUGACUGGGGCGGUCUCCUCCUAAAGAGUAACGGAGGAGCACGAAGGUUGGCUAAUCCUGGUCGGACAUCAGGAGGUUAGUGCAAUGGCAUAAGCCAGCUUGACUGCGAGCGUGACGGCGCGAGCAGGUGCGAAAGCAGGUCAUAGUGAUCCGGUGGUUCUGAAUGGAAGGGCCAUCGCUCAACGGAUAAAAGGUACUCCGGGGAUAACAGGCUGAUACCGCCCAAGAGUUCAUAUCGACGGCGGUGUUUGGCACCUCGAUGUCGGCUCAUCACAUCCUGGGGCUGAAGUAGGUCCCAAGGGUAUGGCUGUUCGCCAUUUAAAGUGGUACGCGAGCUGGGUUUAGAACGUCGUGAGACAGUUCGGUCCCUAUCUGCCGUGGGCGCUGGAGAACUGAGGGGGGCUGCUCCUAGUACGAGAGGACCGGAGUGGACGCAUCACUGGUGUUCGGGUUGUCAUGCCAAUGGCACUGCCCGGUAGCUAAAUGCGGAAGAGAUAAGUGCUGAAAGCAUCUAAGCACGAAACUUGCCCCGAGAUGAGUUCUCCCUGACUCCCUGAGAGUCCUGAAGGAACGUUGAAGACGACGACGUUGAUAGGCCGGGUGUGUAAGCGCAGCGAUGCGUUGAGCUAACCGGUACUAAUGAACCGUGAGGCUUAACCUU
rnacentral:rRNA from 1 species